CCUCCCAUCCCAAUGUUUAAUGUACCGAAGUUUGUGAGAGUCACGUGAGACUCUCGGGUCUGCCCCGCCUUAGGGAGGUGGAGCCUCAGCUUGUGGGCCAAUAGCAGGAGCAGCCUCCGGAACAGCCCCAACGCGACAGGGAAAGGGGGAGGAGCCGGGCGCCCGGCCCUGUAACUGUACUUCCGGAAAGCACGCCCCGCCCCUUCCCCCCCACCGCGCCCGUUUCUUUCGCCAGUGCCGGGUGGGCCGAACCGGCGGGUGCCGAUUAAAGGCGCCGCCUGCCGCUUUCUCCUCGCCCCCCAGCGCCGCAGCUCUCCGCCCCCUUCCCGAGUAGCGGGACCGGCCUUGAUGUAGGGACACCACCCCCCGUCUCCUUCCGCCCCAGCCCGGGAGCUCGGCUCGCUGCAGCCCCUGGCCCUCCCGUUUCCCCACCCUGCCUGCCCCGCUCUGCUCCGAACCCAUUGUAUACGGCCGGCUGCGGACUCCCAGGCCGGGCCGUGGCGGGGGCCCCGGGACCCCCGAGUGCCCCUCCGGCUGGUCCCGCGGGCCGCGGCAUCUCCGCCGCCGCCUUCCUCGCGGCGGCGGCGAGGGCGCCCUUUCCUCCCCGCGCGGGUGACGGGGACGCACCCCCACCCCGGGGCGCCCCUUCGCGGGGGGAGAGCCGGGCCCGAGCAAGUCGAGGCAGGAAAGGGCCGCCACGGACUGCCCGGCCCGCCGAUCGUUUUUAUUAUCGAGAUUAUUAUUAAAAGGGGGCGGGGACCCCAGGACGCGGGGGAGGGGCUGGAUACGCAGAGCCCGGGCGCCCGCCCAGCGCGGAGACGGGCGCGCGGGGUCUCUCCGCGGCGGGGGCGCCGGGCCUCGGGGGAGCGCAGAAGUAGCCGCCCGGGGGUCAGGCCGGAGCGCCGCCGGGGCUUCUCCCUCCCUCCCUCGCCGGUUGCCUUUUUUUCCACUUCUCUCCCUCCCCCUUCCGUUUCUAUUUGUGAAGGGAGGAGGAAGGCAGAGGCGGGCUGGUGUCUCUGGCCGGGGACUGGAAUUUCAUCUGAAUGACUGCCCCUGCGCGCACGCAGCGCCCCGGAGUCGGCCCGCCCGCGCCCCGCAGCCCGCGCCCGGCCAGCCAGCCGGGGGACGCCUGCACCGUGGCCCGGGGACCGCCGGCCUGCCCCUCCCGCCCCGUCCGGAUCUAGCAGCCCUCGGCGCGGCCGCCCUCGCCUCCUGGCCCCGCAGACCCCGGGCUCCGGCCCCUGCGAGGGAGGUGCGGCGCCGACGAGCCAGGCAGGAGCCGCCGCUGCCGCCGCCGCCGGAAGAAGUGUGCUGCUCCCAAGCUCCGUCUGCCGCGGGGCGCGCCCCAAUGUCAGCCGCGGGGACGAGCGCAGGCCGCGGGCCGCCACUGCCCUAGCCGCGCCGACGGGGAGGCGGCCUCUUAUAUGGAAUUUGGACCCCGGCGCUCCCCUCCAAGGCUGGAGUCCCGGCCGCGGCCCUGGCGCAGUCCGCCGCCUCCCGCUAGGCGCUCGGGAGGAGGAGGAGACGCAGCCCGCUGCGCGCGCGGCGUGAGGACCGCGGCUCCCUCCUCCGGGGGGCGGGCACGCGGAAGG
rnacentral:lncRNA from 1 species